rnacentral:rRNA from 1 species
GAUGAACGCUGGCGGCGUGCCUAAUACAUGCAAGUCGAGCGAAUGGAUUAAGAGCUUGCUCUUAUGAAGUUAGCGGCGGACGGGUGAGUAACACGUGGGUAACCUGCCCAUAAGACUGGGAUAACUCCGGGAAACCGGGGCUAAUACCGGAUAACAUUUAGAACCGCAUGGUUCGAAAUUGAAAGGCGGCUUCGGCUGUCACUUAUGGAUGGACCCGCGUCGCAUUAGCUAGUUGGUGAGGUAACGGCUCACCAAGGCAACGAUGCGUAGCCGACCUGGGAGGGUGAUCGGCCAAACUGGGACUGAGACACGGCCCAGACUCCUACGGGAGGCAGCAGUAGGGAAUCUUCCGCAAUGGACGAAAGUCUGACGGAGCAACGCCGCGUGAGUGAUGAAGGCUUUCGGGUCGUAAAACUCUGUUGUUAGGGAAGAACAAGUGCUAGUUGAAUAAGCUGGCACCUUGACGGUACCUAACCAGAAAGCCACGGCUAACUACGUGCCAGCAGCCGCCGCAG